UUGCCUGAGCAGAGCAUAAAACAUUUAUUCCCAAAAGUGAUACUGAGAAGAUAUGAAAGCUAUGGCACUGCAAAUUUAAACUUAAGAAAAGACUGGAAAAUUGUGGGUGAGUGUAACGGACAGAAAAAAAGUUAUAAUGGACUUAACCAAUAUUUAUCAACUACCCUUACCAAAAUCUUUCAAUGUGUUGAAUGUGACAAAGCUUUUAACUAGUGUUCAAUCCUUACUCAACAUAAGAGAAUUCAUACAGGAGAGAAACCAUACAAAUGUAAGGAAUGUGGCAACGCCUUUAAUGGGUUCUCAAAUCAGUUAUUCUCUUAUUCAAAAUAAGAGAAUUCGUACUAUAGAGAAACCCUACAAAUGUGAAGAAUGUGGAAAAGCCUUUAACCAGUGCUCACACUUUUAUUGGACAUAAGAGAAUUCAUACUGGAGAGCAACCUUAAAAAUGUGAAGAAUGUGACAAAGCCUUCAACCUGGGCUCACAUCUCACUGGACACAAGAGAACUCAUACUGGAAAGAAACCCUGCACAUAUGAAGAAUGUGGCAAAAGUUUGAACUGGUUCUCAUACUUUUCUCAACAUAAGAGAAUUCAUGCUGGAGAGAAACCCUACAAUUGUGAAAAAUGUGGAAAAGCUUUUAUGCAUGGGUCAGUCCUUACUAAACAUAAGAUAAUUCAUACUGGAAAGAAAUGCUGCAAAUAUGAGGCUGGGCGUGGUGGCUCACACCUGGAAUCCCAGCACUUUAGGAGGUUGAGGUGGGUGGAUCAUGAGGUCAGGAGUUCGAGACCAUCCUGGCUAACACAGUGAGACGCCGUCUCUACUAAAAAUACAAAAAAUUAGCAAGGCGUGGUCACAGGUGCCUGUAGUCCCAGCUACUCGGGAGGCUGAGGAAGGAGAAUGGCGUGAACCUGGGAGGCGGAGCUUGCAGUAAGCCAAGAUCGCGACACUGCACUCCAGCCUGGGUGACAGAGCGAGACUCCGUCUCAAAAAAAAAAUGCUACAAAUGUGAAGAAUGUGUGGCAAAACCUUUAACCAGAGCUCAUAUCUUAUUGGACACAACGUAAUUAAUACUGGAGAAUAACCCUACAAAUGAGAAAAAUGUGGCAAAGCCUUUAACUGGUUCUCCAACCUUACUAAACAUAAGAGAAUUCACACUGGAGAGAAACCCUAGAAAUAUGAAGAAUGUGGUAAGU
rnacentral:lncRNA from 1 species